GCGAGCUUGGGGACCCAGCGGGCGGGGCGAGGUCGCUCUGUGCCGCCUACGCCGGAUGCACAGCCGGCCCUCUCCGCGCCCACGCACCCACGUGAGCGCCCCGCCGGCCACAUUCCUACUUCCCCCACCACCCCUACUCCUCUGAGCUGAGAGCGCAGUUUCACCACCAGGCAUGGGUACACAAAGACAGAGAAGCGAACUACGUGCACGCGCGUCUAAACAACUACGUGGACGCCGCUACCCACACUCCGGCCUCGCUGAGCUGCUGCUCCUGUGAACGUUAGGAGCGAGCGGGGAAAAGUUAGCGAAGGCCCGGGGAGCGCUGCUCCUGUGCGCGUAUCUGACUGCCUUAGAGUGUGAACUUGUGACACCUGUGAGUGUGGGGCUCUGCAGAAAUCCUUGAUAUCCCGUCGCCCUCCGUCAGACCCAUAAGGAGAAGUUUGAGGAAGCUGCUCUUUGAAACCCAGGCCUCCUCAUCCCUGCAUGGAGUCGUCGCCGAAGUUUUGGAAAAUAGGGAUGGGCCAGUUGUGCUAGAAGGCACCAUUUAGGCGCUUGUUGAUUGGCCGCGUGGGGUUUUGUUCGCAUAGGUGAGGCAGGGAUGGGGACACCCUGCCUUCCUCUAUUUGUCGCACCUUUACUUGCUGAGGAUGAGAUUCUGCUCUUGGGGGGUUAGAUAGCAAAGCUGGAAUAACUAGGUGACCCUUCUGGGGUCACCUGUAGGGAUCUCGCCAGAGAGUGCAGUGGGAGAGGAGCACCAGGCCGGAACGUCCAACGUGACUCCCUUAGGAGAAUCUAGAGAGGGGAGCGCCUUCAAAGAGACUAGCUUCCCUCCGCAACCCACCGCUCCUCCCUCCCCUCUCGGUUUCUCCUAGCCCCAUCUGGUUCCCAUUACACUCCCGCCCACGGCUAAGAGGGCUGGAGAGGGGAGGCGGGGGCUCUAGGCCUGGGGAAAUGAAGAAGGCCGCGGGAAGUGAGCGAGUUGACCACGGGCGAGGGUCCCCUAGUCCGAAACCUCAGGCUCGCCCCGCCGUUCUGCACUUCUGAGUGGUUUGUAUCGGGGCUCUAUGUGUGGAUUUAAAAAUAUAUACAUUUAAAAAAUCAUUGACUUGUCAGGCCCGCCAGAGGCCCAGAGCGCCCCCGCAGCCCGCAGCCAGAGCUGCUGAGAGGAAGGGAAACUAUCCUUGACCCUAGUUCUCCAGGAGAAGGGGGGAAAGAUUGGGAAGAAAGGGAAAAAAGUGGGUGGAAGAGGAGUGAAGAUCUGCAAACCAGAAGGAUUGUUCCUGGGCACGUGUAGAUUUUCGUCUAACAGAUUGCUUUGCUUACCCCUCCCUAG
rnacentral:lncRNA from 1 species